rnacentral:rRNA from 1 species
AAACUUUCAACAACGGAUCUCUUGGUUCUGGCAUCGAUGAAGAACGCAGCGAAAUGCGAUAAGUAAUGUGAAUUGCAGAAUUCAGUGAAUCAUCGAAUCUUUGAACGCACAUUGCGCCCUUUGGUAUUCCGAAGGGCAUGCCUGUUCGAGCGUCAUUACAACCCUCAAGCUCUGCUUGGUAUUGGGCUUCGCCGGAGCAAUACCGGCGGGCCUUAAAGCCAUAGGCGGCGGUGCCCCUGCUUUACAGCGUAGUAAAACAAUC